UCCGGACCGUCCGGCGCGUUGGUAGCGUGUGUUGAGAAGUGACCGAUCUUUUCGCCUCGAUGCCGUGUUACGCUCGGUGUAACUGCAAUAUGUGUGUGUGUGUUUCUUCAAAAGGAUAUCAGAAGUGAUUUCGAGUCAUCGACAGUCAUGAAUCGACUGCGCGGUAAGCUGUGCGGCGAAUGUUGCCAUGUGCUCGCGAACUCUCUUCGUGGCUUCAUCGGUCUCUUUUCGUUUCACGGCCGGGUGUGUUCGCAAGGUCCGGAGCUGUAUAGUUGCAUUAGCGUAAUGACUGUACGAGAUGCCCUUUAUUUCGACACUUGGUGAACGUUGACUCUUUGCGCUAGCUUUGCAUUCGGUUUUGAGAUUCACUUCAUAGCGCAUUCGAGAACAUUAUCGAACAUCGAGAACAUUCAGUAUUGCGUCCUUCGACUGAUCGCUGACGCAUACCUUACUUGCACACGCGAGCGUCUAGAAAACGUACAAAAUCCUUUUGUGUUCGACGGCUAGGUACCUAGGGAGAGAAUCUCUAGGGAUUUUUGAUGGUGGCGCCGUCACAUCUUGGCGGAGCUUUCUGGAACGCCGCCGUGAGUCAUGCUGCACAUGCAGCUUUCGUCUAAUCGUCUUGACAACCAUUUGACAACGUAGUCCGUGAACCGGUGUCCCGUAGCGACUUCGUCGUGACUGCCUCAGAGAACGUCUAGUACUGCCUUUGCUUGAUUGACGGACGUCGGGGGCGAAACAGAGCGAAGGUGCUGCAAUGCGCUGCCUUGCCACAAGUGAUGCAAGCCAGAAAGACCAUUACAUGAAGCAAUGAUGGGCGAUACAUGGAGAACGAACGAAGUGAUUGUGCGAGCAGGCCAAGUCAGAAAGUUGCAAGGAAGCUAUUAUUGCAACGAAACCAGCCACCGCCGCCUCUAGCACCAUCCGGUUCCCGUGCUGCAAGUGCAGUCGUAACCCCUGUGGAGAGGGAUCCGACCCCAAGGAGAAAGUAGGGGCUGACGAGCUGCGUUUAAGUAUGCUUUGCUGGUGCUUUUAGCUAUUUCAAAAGACGCAAGAAGUGGCUCGACAUCACUUGGCCAUAGGCUGCUCUUCCUCAUCUUAAUGAGCAUAGCUCUUGCAACACUGGCUCCGCCAAAAAACUAGGCGUAAGGUUCAAGGUAAAGUUUUUAAACCAUGUACUUUUUGUCAUCUCAUGUGAGCUGCCAUACACACAUAGAUGAAUCUUUGUUGUUGCUUGGAGGUAGACUUCAUGCUUCUCUCCCAGCAGUCCAGCUCUCUUCUCUUUCUAUUAUGUAUUACUUUUCUUUGAUUUAUGCUUCAGUGACCAAAGUAUGUAUGCUCACUCCCUGCGUGUGGAAGAGAAAUGCACCGGUGUACACCAUAAAAGGAUGCGAAAAGUUAAAGGACCCCUUGUGACUUUUUUUACUGUAAUUUGUAGCCUUGUGUCUGGCAAUGCCGAAAUUGAGUGAGUCAUAAAUGCUCUGACAUAUCGUAUAAUUAAUGCUAGUGUCUCUAAUUCUGGCCACUUUUAGCUUCAUUUUGAAACACCCGCCUGAGAUUGUAAGAAACUACUUCCCCACAGCGGGGAAGCACCUAAGACAUUGUGCGCUAAAGGUUUGGUGACAUUGACAGCGCAGUUUUCAAAUCGGGGGCCCCGCGCGCGAUAAAGAAUGAAACGAUGUGGGUGCUUUGGUAUGAGUUAAGCCGGUUAAGUGCGUGUCCCCUCAGGAAAAUGAAAAGCAUUCCUGGCUUAAGCAGCCAAAACCACCCUGAGAGCAGCCCGACAACUGAGCGAGAGGGACGAGAAGCAAUAGCCCUCGUCAGGUGCCAGUUGUGGUAUUGUGUGUGUCCUGUCCAUCUUUUGUGACGUCAACAAUACUGGCUUUUCUUGUGGAACGUCACACGGGGCCUUCAUCUAUGUCAUAUUAGUGGAGGUGUUGCGAGGUGCUGCCAACUCAAAUGAGCACUCACGCUUACUUUAAAACCAAAUUAAAAUAUCUUAAAGGUAACAUUUGCCACUAAUAAUCAGCCAGAAGUGCCCACGUGUGCAGGACAAUCACACAACACAAACAUCUCGAGGUCUUGAUUUUGGUGUCAGGGGCCCUUUAAACGGAACUAAAGGUAUGCAGAGGGGACAAGAGCCGUACGGGUCCACCCUAUGUGUUUUUAAAAGCUGUAAAUGAUUUAAAGUAGUACUGUGUAUUCUACUUUAGGAGACCGGUAAGCAGUCAUCAUACUUGCAGAAAAACUUUUUUUCAUAAAAACGUUACCAAGCUUAUGUUGAAUGCACUAGUCUUUCUUUGAUGGAAAUGAUUUCAGUAACAUUAUUUUGUCACUGUAUAACCAUAGCAGUAGCGAUCUUGCCAUGCUUUCUUUUGUUCUUCAGCUUUCGAAUAAUAUUCUUCUAUGUGGGAGUGUGUUUUCCCAUCAUUAUGUUUUUCGGUAAACAGAACGAUUACUUUAUUGAAGAGACUGAUGCUGGGACUGUUGGUACAUAGUUCAAAAUCUACAUACGGAAGAAGGAAUUGUACAAGCACAGACACCCAGUGUGUGUGUGCAUUCCAUUCCUUCCUCUUGUGUAAGACUCCUUCAGGCUGAGUGUUGCUCUUUCAAACUCUUUUAGUGAAAUUGUAUGAGCUAUGUUUAUUGCACAAAAAUAAAGCAGUCUUUAUAACUGAAAUCUUGACUGUCUCAAAUGAAAUAAUUUCACUUUUCACACACUGCAAUUAUUAACUUAAAAUUUUAUUUAACUACGAAACAAAAAGGGGGCGCCGACCAUUCUAAACAGAACGUUUAUGACGUUUCGACUUCCAGUAUGGAAGCCUUGUUCACGAUGAAUACAUCAUCAGAAGUGGUUCGUUUUAUUUGGAAGACGAAACGUCAUAAACAUUUUGUUUGGACCUGUCUGUGUCUCUUUUUUAUUUCAAAUGUACCCUCCUAGCCAGACUGGAUUCCGCCAUGAUCCCGACUUCAAAUGUCAUUUAAUGUACCAAGUAAGUGCUCACUCAACAGCAACAUCUUGUGUUGACAAGUGUGUAGAAGACUAGGAGUAACACAGUCAUCAUUAGGAUCUAUUCAGUGUGUUCUAAUAAAGGAAGAUGUCGAUGGAGGGCUUCACCAUGGGGACAGCGGCUCAUCCUUUUUUCUUCAAUUGUGUUUUUCUCCAUAAUACAUUGAGAGCCAAUCUUUGUGAUUUAGAGACUUGGGACAGAAAGCUAGGGCUACUUCUGAAGUGUAGUAGCUUGUAAUGUUUUAAUUGUCAUAAUCUUUCACAAGUGGCAAAAUCGAUUUUCUUAAUGAGUGGGACCUUUAAUCUUUGUUUUUGCAAUCACAAUAUUUUUUGCAAUCACACAAAAAUAAUGUACAAAAUCGAAUUUUUGAACUUCGCGCCGAACCCUACUACCGGUCAGUCAGCACGACGUCACUAAUCGAUUUUAUUAUUUUUUUUAUCUACGGCUGGUUUCUGCAGAUCAAAAUGUUACGAAGCCUCAGCGAGAGUGGAAAAGCGCGAGACUAAGAUCUUUGUUCCACACCUUGAGCUCAGCCAAAUAGCACAGAAGUAUGUUACACAGUAAUAAAUGUUUCCCAUGGAGAAAAAGUUCUCUAUUUUAUGCAUUUAUGAUUGGCGCCCACAAAUGACGGAUCGAUUGAAGGCGCUUAAAAAUCGCAAUUUCGGUUUCGGUUUCUGACUGCGUGAAGCGCCACCUGCUUCCUACUGCAAGCGUCAUGGCGACUUCCUGUUUACUUUUCUGGCUCCAACGCGUGCUUUCAACUUCCAAACUUCUGCGCUGUUCUUCGUGACAUUGUGAAAUCUAUAUGGAUAUAUACGUGGUGGGUCAUAUGUAGCACCAUCCGGAACAUCAAGCAUCAAUAUCUGAUAUGCGACACUUUGCCUACUGGUCGUCAGAAGUGUCCUUGGACGGCAGCUCGUAAGUCCACUUCACUGCGCUGCGUGCUUCCUUGGGGCAAGGGAAAGAUGCAACGGCUACACGAGUGGCAAGUUUGUAUGCUGCUUUGUGUAUUUCCACGCUUUGACAAGCAUUCAUUGGCUUUCUGCAGUGCCACCGAUCCGCCAUGUUUCAGAUGGUUUGUUCAGAAAUAUACUGUUAGAGUAUAAUAAGAGUAUAUAACAAACACUGGGGAUACACU